rnacentral:rRNA from 1 species
GACGAACGCUGGCGGCGUGCCUAAUACAUGCAAGUUGAGCGCUGAAGGUUGGUACUUGUACCAACUGGAUGAGCAGCGAACGGGUGAGUAACGCGUGGGGAAUCUGCCUUUGAGCGGGGGACAACAUUUGGAAACGAAUGCUAAUACCGCAUAAAAACUUUAAACACAAGUUUUAAGUUUGAAAGAUGCAAUUGCAUCACUCAAAGAUGAUCCCGCGUUGUAUUAGCUAGUUGGUGAGGUAAAGGCUCACCAAGGCGAUGAUACAUAGCCGACCUGAGAGGGUGAUCGGCCACAUUGGGACUGAGACACGGCCCAAACUUCUACGGGAGGCAGCAGUAGGGGAUCUUCGGCAAUGGACGAAAGUCUGACCGAGCAACGCCGCGGGAGUGAAGAAGGUUUUCGGGUCGUAAAACUCUGUUGGUAGAGAAGAACGUUGGUGAGAGUGGAAAGCUCAUCAAGUGACGGUAACUACUCAGAAAGGGACGGCUAACUACGUG